rnacentral:miRNA from 1 species
AUGUAGAGAAUAUGUGGUAACCCU